rnacentral:rRNA from 1 species
AUGCAAGCUGAACGAGAAAAUCGUGAAGCUGGCUUUGUGAUAGUAUUGUGGCGCACGGGACAGUAUUGCGUGGGUAAUCUACCCCUGAAUCGCCCAUAACAUUGCGUUUGCGAUGCUAAUACCCGAUGAUAUCUUGAGAACUUCGGUUUUUAAGAUCAAAGGUGGCCUCUACAUGUAAGCUACUGUUUGGGGAUGAGCCCGCGUACCAUUAGCUUGUUGGUAGGGUAACGGCCUACCAACACUUCGAUGGUUAGCUGGUCUGAGAGGACGAUCAGUCACACUGGAACUGACACACGCUCCAGACUCCUACGGGACCCAGCAGUGAGGAAUAUUGCGCAAUGGGGGAAACCCUGACGCAGCAACGCCGAAUGAGUGAUGAACCCCUUCGGGUCGUAAAGCUCUGUCAAACGGGAAGAACCUGUCUUAUGUUAAUACCAUAAGGCACUGACGGUACCGUUGAAGGAAGCACCGGCUAACUCCGUGCCAGCAGCCUUGGUAAUACGGAGGGUGUUUGCGUUAUUCGGAAUUAUUGGGCGUAUACCGCGCGUAGAAGGUUAUUU